CCCCGCUCGUGCUCUGUCUGUCUGUCUGUCUCUCUCUCUCUCUCUCUCUCUCAAAAAUAAGCAUUUAAAAAAUUUUUAAAAACUAAAACAUUUCCAUCAUUUCCGAAAGAAAACCUGUGCCCUUAGCCGGUCCCCGCCGUCUUCCCCUCCCCUCCCCUCCCCUCGGAGCCCUGCAGCCCUAACGGACUCAGUCUCUACAGGCUUACCCGUCGGGUGGAGUGAAUCGUGCAGUACGUGGCUGUGUGUGUGGCCGGCUCCUUGCACGGUUUUGAGGCUCAUCCCCGUCGUAGCAGGAGUCAGUGCUUCGUGCUUUUCUGUGGCCACAUAGUAUCCACUUUACGGGUACCCACGUCCCUAUCCGGCCAUCACAGUGACGGACACUGGGGUUGUUUCCACCUCUCGUUACAACGAAUCCACCGUGCACACCGAAGCUUCUCCAGGCGCUUCUCCAGCCCUGCUAACUCCCACCUACCCAGCCCGCGCUACGUGCCAGGCUCCAGACUGCACUCUCGCUCAUGCCCGCGAGGGCCGGUCUCCCCGUACCCCGACGGGUGCGGCACAGGCCAUCGUUCCCGUGUUACGGAUGAGGACACCCGAGUCCGGAGAAGGGAGGAGAUUGGCCAACGUCCUGGUGGAAGGAGGACCCCGACACAGCAACGGCUGAGGCCACCUGCUUCCUCUUUGGGACCGGGAGCUAUAAGGACCAUGAAGCCUGGAGCUGCCCCUGGAAACUUCUUCCUGCCUCCCGGGGACAGUCUACACCAGAAUGCCAUGCAGAUGUUAGAACUGAUGCUGCGGGAAGCCAUUUGAUGGCACCGAAAGAUGUUCGCGAUACCUUCCCCGGGUUUACAGUAAGCAAGCUACGAAAUAGACCGUGCAACAUCACUUGCUCUCCGCGUGUUCCUCUACGUAUGAAAACAUACACACACACGCACACACGCACUCUUUAGAAAUGGAUGCCAGAUGCCAAAAUGUGAACAGUGUUUCUUUCCGAUCCUA